CUAGAAGUCUGCAAAGUUUGCGUUUAAAGAUCUUAAAACUCUACUUAAGGACUUCAGUGUCUAAAGGACUCUACAUAAAAAUAUAUAGUUGCUGAAUUCAAGUCUUGGAGACUAUUCAACUUGUUGAUAAAAUAAUUUCAGUUAACGGAGUUCAGAUAAUCAAGAUUCCACUGUAACUGGAUUCAUAGCAACUCUGUUAGACUCAUUUUAAAAACUCAAUAACUACCUAGCAACAAAGGUGCCAAAAACUUAGGAAGAGACAAAGAGGUCAUAUAUCUUUAGGGAAGAAGUAGUAAGUGUUAGCGAAUUAAAAUGAUUUUGAUGUAGCAGUGACAUUUCUGGAUAUUUGAGAUUGAGCAAUUGAGCUCAAUUGAGCAAGACACUUCACCAAAUGUAAGUGAUUCUAAAGGCAAGAAGCAAGGAAUGAGUUCGAGAUGGAGCUUCAAGCAUGGAAACUACCUUUUCAUAUUUGCUUACCAAACAACUGUUUAGAAUACUUACCUUAAAGGCUUGGAAAAUAUUUGAAUCUAGAGUAGCUUUUUCUAUUAAAUAUUUCUGUUCUUUAUGUGAUGAAAUUCCCUCCUUCUCCUCUCCCCCCCCCCGAGAUAAUAGUGGAAUGGAAAAAAUGUUAAACACCAGAAAUUGAAGUUAGACAUUUUUUAAAUCAGCAGCUCCAGAUAACUUGCAAAGAGCUUUAAGAGAGCUGGUUGAGAAGCUCACACAACCAUUAAUGUUGAUUUUUCAGUAAGUCUUGGAGCACUGUUGAAAUUCCAGAAGACUAGAACCGUGGCAAAUGGGAAAUGGGGGGUGGUGCCUGCAGGUGAGAGCAGUGAGUGGAGCCUCCUGGCCCCCCCGCCUCGAAGCUGGACCUGCUGGCCACAUCCGGGGCGCAGCGUGGUGCCAGGACAUACAGGGAGCCUGCCUUAGCCUCGCAGCACCACUGACUGGGAGCCACCCAAGGCCUUGAAGGAAGCACGAAUUAUUCUUCCCUUAAGAGGUUGAGGGGGGCGAAAAUUAUUCACCAUCUGGAUCCUUUCAACUCCCUCGCUGGUGAAGAGAAGAGUUCGGAAUUUCUCCAGCUGCAAAUUCAUAUGAAAUAACUUUACUACUUGCAAAGGCAAUUGGUGUUAAUGUAAUUGAAAAAAGGUUUGCAUCCUGGUUGUAGUAAAGUGGUUGUGAAAAAGUUCUUACCUCAGAAGGAAAAGAUUUGUUGUCAACUGUAUGCUCUGAUCCCUGGCUGUGCUUCAUUCCCCAAUGAAAAUGAAACUGCUUUAGCCUAUAGGGACCUUCAAGGGGGCCCCCAUUGAUCACUGUAAAUGGAAGUGCAUAAAGAGAAUGUAAAAGAGUAAGUAUUUGGGUUUUUUUACUGCCUGAUUGUAGAAACUAGUUGGAUCAAUAGUGGAGAAACAGCAUCUCUCAAGAGCAGGAGGAGGAAAAAAAGAUAUUUUUGAUAUAUAAUAUACAGAAGAGAAGCCAAAGCCACAAUUAACAAAAUACAAAGAAAGUCCUUUAUCUUGACUCUCAAAUUCUUAGAAUUAAUAACACAGAGCAAAUUUAUUCCUGAUUGAAGUCAAUGAAGUUACAUUAGGGAUGUAUCUGACCCAUAAUCCAGUGCCACCAAAUCGGUUGGAAACUCACAAUAUCAUCUGUGUAAGUAAAUAUCUCAGGUCAGCUCCCCCUAUCCAAGUUUAGGAGAAGGUGGGUGAGGGUAAAGAGUUUUUCCUCCUGGCUGAUAUCAGAGAUAGCAGAAAGAUUUAUACUAGACAAAGAAACAAAUUUUUACAAUUACUUAUAUACAAAUUUACCAUAUUCCUAUUUAGCCUUUGGAAAUGUAAAUUUGAGGUAAGAGGACUGAGUAGCUAUCCACCAAGCAAGCAAGCUAUGGGGUGCUUCUUACUGCAAUUCAGAAAGCUGAACUGGUUUAGUAUUUAAAAAAACAAUUGGAAUUAGAAACAGUUUUUGAUGCAUUUUUAAAUAAUUUUUUAGAAUUGUAAAGAUACUUGGGACUUUGUGGAAGACAGGGAGUGGAUCUGUUGAGUUAGAAGGUGCAGUUUUACACCCAUAGAUCAUUUUGCUAUGUAUUUCCUCUUUAGGGUUAUCUUUUUCCCUCCAGCAGAAGUUCUCUAUAUUCUGUUUUCUGUUAAUACCUGAUCCUGGUAGAGGAAGUUAAUGAAAUACUUUGUGUUUAACAUAGCACCUUUCCAAAGAGGAUCUCAAGUCAUUUUACAAAGGUGGGGAAGACGGAUACGGAGAGAUUUUGGAAUUUGAUCAAGGAAAAUACAAACUUUUAACAUUUUAAAUUUUAAAAUAAUACUUUUAAUAAAUGCAGCCCAUUAAUACCUAGGCAAUGUGGCCUACAUUUAUAGAAAGAAAAUAACAUUUCAGAAGAGUUCAGUAAUUCCCUUGUGCUUUAAAGAGACAGGACACCAAGCAGUUUAUCUUCUGUCAAAUAGAACUGAAAACUGGUAAUUUAAAUUAUAAAUUAAAAAAGUAUUGUAAAGUAUGCACGCAUUGUAAAGUAUUUUUUAACAACAUAGUCCUUAUCAUUUUAUUUGCUUCCAAAUUUUUCAUGUUAUGGAAUUAUUUCCCUGCUUGUCACAUGGAACAUUAACUUGUGAAGUCCAUAACCCCACCACACUUUGUGUAGGAAACUAGCUUUUAUACCACCAAAGCAUAUAAGCACAUGCUUACGUUCCACUGAAGUUAACUGUACUAAAGUGCAUCCCUUUAAAGUUAAGCACAUUCUUAUAUGUUUCCCUAAAUUGGGGCCUAAAUGGGGGCUUAUAGGGUAGAUGAAAUGCAUCCCCCUCAUCCAACCCCGCCUCCCCCCAUCAAGUCUGGAUCAGUGAACCAAGCUCCUCCAAACCCUCUAUACAAGUCACUGGAUCUAUCCAAUUGCAGCUCUAGUAGCUUCUCUCCAGGUUUACUCUCCUCCAAUAGCCCCCUUCAUGCCAGUCUAGAAGAUGCACCAGGGGCAGAGAGUCCCUUUCAUGGAUGCUGCAGUGGUGCCCUCCCCUUGAGGAGCAAUGCAGGACACUGUAGUGCAAACCCUCUAAACCUGGGUGAAUUUCGCUAUUAAAUGGACAGAUUUCUAUUAUUUAUAACUAAAUUAAAAUUGUCCAUGAAGAUCAUUUUUCCGGAUACAUUUUACAAAGUCACUUUCUAAGGCAACAUGCUUAAAAGAAUCUUUAAAGAAGCUAAUUUUAGGCAAGCUCAGAUCCAUUGUCUUUACUUAAAACACAGACAUUACACUUGCAAAUUGAUCAUUCACUGAGCUGUGUGCUUGUCCUCGGGGGUUUUUUCUUUUAAAAGACCCAGUAGCUGUAACUUAAGCCCACACCUGAUAAUGCUCUGACAACCUUAUGGGAUUACUUCAAAGGCAAUAGAGAGUACCCCAGGCCAUUGCAGGACAUUCAUUUCUCAGCAACCAUAACAUUUGGUUUGAAUAUCAAAUUAAACUGGCAUCACAAAAGCACCAAACUGGAUGAAUGACCAUUAGUUGCUGACAUAAGUUAAAAUAAAACAAACUAGCCCAUCAGCCACCAUUUAUAUAAAAGCUCCUCUCUACUUACCAGUUACUAAUAGAUUUCUGAUAUUCUGUGCUUCACAAUCAGUGUGUAAGUGAAUCAGAGCAAAAUUUUCGAUAGAGGUAAAAGGAGAACAAUCUAAUGCAAGGGUGGCCAAACUGCGUUGUGAGCCACAUGCGGCUCUUUUACAGUUAAAGUGUAGCUCAUGGAGUCCCUCAGGUCCCAUCCCCCCACAUUCUCCACCUACCAGACUGUGGGGGAAGCUCGGGACCUCUACCUUACAGCAGGGUGGUGGGGUAGGGGCUUUUGCCCAGAGGGAAGGAGGGUCUCGGGGCUUUAGCAGGAGCGGAGCUGAAGCCCCAAGCACUGUCAGGCGCCUUCCACGGGGCUGAAGCCCUGAGCCCCGGCAGGUGUGCCCCGGCUCUCAAACUUCUGAAGAUUGUCGUAUGCGACUCAAAGGGUUUGUAAGUUUGGCCAUCCUAAUCAAGUGUUUAACAGCACCAAAACUCACGCUAUCUAGAGCUGAAGAUGAAGGAUAAAAGGUAGCUGCAGCUUGUGUAACAUGCACAGUCUGACUCCUCAGCAGAACUAGCCAGAGAGUUCAUAUCAUUUCUGAAGAAGCCAUUCUGCUAUGGGAAAGAGGAAUCAAUGCAGAGGGACCAUGUUUCUGUGCUGAUAGGUCUAGAGCACUGGAUAUGCACGUGGUCUGUAUUUGGCAGAACUGACAACCUUUCUGUCUCAGGACAAUUCAGAGGAAUCACCACAAAUAGAAAUGCAGAGUUUCCUGUCCCCAGAUUGAGUUCUUCCUUACCAUGUAGGGAUGUGGCUCUGCUAAGUGACACUUUGCACAGAGACUGAGCGCCCAGUCUCUCCACUUUUUAAGCCUCUGCCAGAUUGUGGUAUUAAAAAAAAAAAAAAAGGCAGGCCCAAGAAAAUGGUAAAACAAAAGUGGCUCUAAUCACAUACCUCAGCCAAGUAAUGCCACUGAUCUCAUGUCAGAAGAUUUAAAUAGCUGCAAAAUUGUACACUAGUCUUUAAUUUUACUUCAGAUAAUAUAUUUUAUCAUCUCUCUAGCUAAGAAGGUGAAGAAAUAUAAGCUACGAGAUCUUAAUUCUAAGACAGUAUCAGGCUCACCUGUCUUGUCAUCAGCAUCUUCAAAGUCCACUGUGACUGAGUGGCCAUUGUUGGAGAUAUCAAAAGAUGUACACGAUUCAUAUGAGAUAAUAAGAGGCUUCAGACUAGGAUCAUAAACGGCUUGCGUGGAGACUAUAUCAACAGGUGACUGACGAUGCCCCUGGGCAAUGGGAUAUGAUUUGUACCACUCAGAAGGCCCUUUGAAACAAAGGAAAGGAAGACACUGUGACUUCACUUUUGCCACAGAUAGAAAAGAAUCAUUAGAGGUUUUUAUGAGCUUCGGAUUGAAUGCCAUGUUCAUUGGAAAUCACGUAAAUUUGUCACCAUAGGAGUUAUCUGAAACACUGUGCAUUGUAUUGUGUGUGUUUACAGAUACUAGCAAUGCAGCCUGCAUCCUGGUGGGCGAUUUAGCUGUUUUAUGAAUAGCAUAAUGAUGGGAACAUAAUACAGCCACAGGCACACCCAGACAUUUCUGCUUAUCCCCCAGCUUCCUAUAGAAAUUAAAUGCAAUUACAAAUAGAUUAUUCCAGAAUAGACUUGGUUGAGGAAUCUCUCUCUCUCUCUCUGUUGAUAUUUUAAACACAAACACUGUGUAUUUUAGCUUUCCUGGGUAGGACAGUGGUAAAUGCUUGAAAUUCAAAUUAGAUGCAGAUGACUCAGAAUGUCUCAGCUACUAUAUGUUUAUUUUUAAACCCAUUUUAUGACUGCAGUAAAUCUUUGAGAGACAGGCAUCAUUAUUCCAUAAUGCCCACUAUACUAUUUCGCAAGUGAGCAGUAGAGGAUGAUUAUCAACACCUUUGGACUUCCUAACCCCAAAGGAGUGGGAUUAAAUACCCAUAUAAUCACACAGCUUUCUGCUCUAGGAGCUGGAGUGCUCUUACACUGUUUAAGAUAACAAGAUCAUAUCUACAUCAAACAAUGAUUUAUUGAUACCUUUUACUUUUGUUUCACUUGUGUAUUUUAUUACAACACACAGCAAUGUAAUUCUUCUAGUCCCUGUUUUGGGAAAAGUUAUCCUGUUUACUUUUUAAUACCUUAAAAAUAACCCAAAGCACUUUAA